AUGAACGCUAGCGGCAGGCCUAACACAUGCAAGUCGAGGGGCAUCGCGGUGCAGCAAUGCACUGGCGGCGACCGGCGUACGGGUGCGUAACGCGUAUGCAACCUGCCCCGCACCGGGGAUAGCCCGCCGAAAGGCGGAUUAAUACCCCAUGGUCCCGGGGGCCCGCAUGGGCAUCCGGGUAAAGCCUUGGCGGUGCGGGAUGGGCAUGCGUGCCAUUAGCUGGCUGGUGGGGUAACGGCCCACCAGGGCAACGAUGGCUAGGGGGUCUGAGAGGAUGGUCCCCCACACUGGUACUGAGACACGGACCAGACUCCUACGGGAGGCAGCAGUGAGGAAUAUUGCGCAAUGGGGCAACCCUGACGCAGCAACGCCGCGUGAGUGAGGAAGGUUUUCGGACCGUAAAGCUCUGUCGAGCGGGAAGAAAUGCAUGCUGGCUAAUAUCCAUCAUGCUUGACGGUACCGCUAGAGGAAGCACCGGCUAACUCCGUG
rnacentral:rRNA from 1 species